UGGGGAAUAUUGCACAAUGGGCGGAAGCCUGAUGCAGCCAUGCCGCGUGUGUGAAGAAGGCCUUCGGGUUGUAAAGCACUUUAGUUAGGGGUGAGGGGUUUGAUGGCUAAUACCUGUUAAAUUUGACAUACCCUGAAGAAUAAGCACCGGCUAACUCCGUGCCAGCAGCCGCGGUAACACGGGGGGUGCGAGCGUUAAUCGGAAUUACUGGGCGUAAAGGGCGUGUAGGUGGUUUAUUAAGAGUUCCGUGAAAGAACAGGGCUUACCCUUGUAAAGCGGGGCAGACUGGUGAACUAGAGUGGCUGAGAGGGAAGUAGAAUUCCAGGGGUAGCGGUGAAAUGCGUAGAGCUCUGGAGGAAUACCGGUGGCGAAGGCGACUUCCUGGCAGCAGACUGACACUGAGGCGCGAAAGCGUGGGGAGCAAACAGGAUUAGAUACCCCCGUAGUCC
rnacentral:rRNA from 1 species